UUUCCAGCCACCAGAAUGCUCCUGCAUCUUCGUGAGUCCUCCGUCUCCGUCUAUUCUCCAUUGUGAGUCCUCUCCUUCGAAUGCUCCUGCACCUUCGUGAAUCAUCUCCGUCAAGCGUUUCGGCAACAUCGUGAAUCAUCGUUAUCGAUUGUGUCACAUCCAUUUCGUUCAUCCGGUUGUUUCACUUUCUAUUGCGCGUUUUGUUACUCGGAUUAUAGUGUAAAUACUUAUUCUUCUCCCCUACUUCACUCCAUUUUAACCCUGGGUUCUUUGUUUCAGAGUUGAUAAAUAGUAGAUUCGAUGUUGAUGGUGAUGAGGUUAUCUAGACGAAACAGAGGACAGAAGGAAAAGAUGAUUGAAGACUUGAUCCUUACAUAAUCCAAUUGUGAGAUGACAAGAGGUUAAACCCAAAGAUUAUGCAAAAAACCUAUGUGCAAAACUCUGGGAAUUUCACUCUCACCAGUCAGCAUCUGCUAGGGACUCGAGAAAACAUGUUCAAGAAUCGGUUGUUCAUUGGAAGUUACACCAGAAAAUGAUGUAAAUCCUAGAAGUUCCUUAGGAGAGUCGAGCUGCAAGUCGAAAUCUUCGAGAGAGUUAGUCAAGGUUCUCGAUCGUAUGUGGCGUCUUGAAGAACAGCAGGCAUCAAAUAUAGCAACAGCGAAAGUGCUGAUAAAAGAACUAGAUUCUUCUCAAGCACAAGAAAAAGAGUUAGUACAUGAAAAGAAAAUGAAUAGGCAGAUAAUGGAGAGCUUAAUGAAGCAAAUAACAGAAGACAGACGUGUUAACGAAAUCAAAGACCCUCUUGUUGCUGCUUCAAUAGUUCAUGGUGGUUCAGUUGAUGAAGCAAACCUGUAAGUAGUUUUCUCAGCCAGCCUCUUGUUAAUGAGGUAGAUCAGAAUCAAGACAAUCGACAACAGUAAAAACGUAAACUACAGUGUAAAUUCUUACUCCACCCCCACCUUCUAAAGGUUAUUUAUGAUUUUUUUUUCUUACAUAAAAAAAAAAAGCUUAAGCAGUUGCUACUAGUUGCUACUUAUCUGUGAUUUGUAUUAUUCCAACAUUAGAAUACAAUCAAGAUGAGGGCAUUGGAUAUGUAUAACAGUAGAAAAGUUCAUAGUAUGAACUAUUCCUAAUUUUCUGUGUUAGUUUGUACUUUUUACUUUGGAUUGUGGCUCUAUACUCGAUUUUUUCCCUCUCCUAAUCGACGGUGGCUAGUAUUUUCACGGUUGUUGUUCAUAAAGCAAAUAAAAAUGAAAAUCUGAUAAACUGGUGAUUCAAUAAUAUAUAGGUGAGUAUUUUAUUUCUUUAUUUUUACCUUUGUAUAC